ACGUAGGGUCCGAGCGUUAAUCGGAAUUACUGGGCGUAAAGCGUGCGCAGGCGGUUUUGUAAGCCAGUCGUGAAAUCCCCGGGCUUAACCUGGGAAUGGCGAUUGGGACUGCAAGGCUCGAGUGCGGCAGAGGGGGGUGGAAUUCCACGUGUAGCAGUGAAAUGCGUAGAUAUGUGGAGGAACAUCAAUGGCGAAGGCAGCCCCCUGGGUCGACACUGACGCUCAUGCACGAAAGCGUGGGGAGCAAACAGGAUUAGAUACCCUGGUAGUCCACGCCCUAAACUAUGUCAACUAGUUGUUGGAGGAUGAACUCCUUUAGUAACGCAGCUAACGCGUGAAGUUGACCGCCUGGGGAGUACGGUCGCAAGAUUA
rnacentral:rRNA from 1 species